rnacentral:rRNA from 1 species
AUGGUNGGANAGAGGCCUACCAUGGUGGUAACGGGUAACGGGGUGUUAGGGCACGACACCGGAGAGGGAGCCUGAGAAACGGCUACCACAUCCAAGGAAGGCAGCAGGCGCGCAAAUUACCCAAUCCCGACACGGGGAGGUAGUGACAAUAAAUAACAAUACGGGGUUCUUUGAAUCUUGUAAUUGGAAUGAGUACAAUUUAAAUCUCUUAACGAGGAACAAUUGGAGGGCAAGUCUGGUGCCAGCAGCCGCGGUAAUUCCAGCUCCAAUAGCGUAUAUUAAAGUUGUUGCAGUUAAAAAGCUCGUAGUUGAAUUUCGGGAUCAAUACGUCGGUCGUGCUUUNGGGUACGUACCGGCGUCAUUGGUUUCUCCUUUCUGACGAACCAUGAUGUCAUUAAUUUGGUGUUAUGGGGAGUUAGGACUGUUACUUUGAAAAAAUUAGAGUGUUUAAAGCAGGCAUUAGCUUGAAUACAUUAGCAUGGAAUAAUGAAAUAGGACGUUCGAUCCUAUUUUGUUGGUUUCUAGGAUCAACGUAAUGAUUAAUAGGGAUAGUUGGGGGCAUUAGUAUUCAAUUGUCAGAGGUGAAAUUCUUGGAUUUAUUGAAGACUAACUACUGCGAAAGCAUUUGCCAAGGAUGGUUUCAUUAAUCAAGAACGAAAGUUAGGGGAUCGAAGACGAUCAGAUACCGUCGUAGUCUUAACCAUAAACUAUGCCGACUAGGGAUCGGAUGAUGUUAAUUUUUUAAUGACUCAUUCGGCGCCUUACGGGAAACCAAAGUGUUUGGG